rnacentral:misc_RNA from 1 species
CCUUCUGUCAUUCCAGCUUCACUUCUUUGCCACUCAUCAUUAUCACUGUCAAUAUUUAGCAGGUCAAACCUAUUCUGCUCAGAACGUCUCCGAAGCAUGAAUACAUUGAAAUAAUAACUGACAAGCUCCCUUUUUGUUUGGCCAGGGAACACUGCUGGCAGAUGAUCCCAAAAGUUCUUGCCCAACGAUGCAGGGUUUGAUAGGACUACAUCAUGGAAGAGUUGCUCCUCCUCUUCAGUCCAUUUCUUUCCUACAUCUUCCCCCAUAUCAUAAAAACCCAGCCCAUCAAAUAUCUCCUCCCCAAGGUUCUCCCUAAGUUUCUGCCUAGCUUCCAUGAUGUGCUGUUUUACACAUUCAAUAGAUCCCUGAUCAAGGCAACUACAGUCAGUUUUGGUGCCUUCGCAGCAAUGGGUUACAGAUGCUUCCAAAUCAGGCAUAGGAAUAACACAAACACCCGUCAGCCUCUCCUCAUAACCAUCAUGAACUAGGAUACUGGGGCUAGAUGAUUGUGCAAGCACAACUUGGGGAUUAGACUUAUCUAGCUGAUUAGAAGAGGUGUUUGGACCCUCCCACUCUGGAACAAAAGCUUNNNNNNNNUCUGGACCAAUUGAAACUGGCUUCCAAAAAGGAUAGUCGAAAGAUGAGAACACCUCAUCAGGCUGAAGUAGCGCCCUUAGCUGGUGUCCAUGAUCAAAAUAUUCAGGGAAAAAUGAGAGAUUAUCUGCUUCAAGAAUUCCGUUGUUGAUCCAUAAAAAAUGAGGAAAACAGCCAGAAGCACCACUUUCAAAGUUGUUAAUGUCAUUGGAAACUGCUACGACUGAAUCAUUUGCAGACCUCCCAAUAUGUUGACAGUUACUAAGAAUGUUAUCAUCUGAAGUUGUAGUUUUCGGAUGAGAAUCAUCAAGAAAAGCCAUUGGAGCAAGUUGAUCAAUGUGUUCCAGGUGUCUACGGUGCUUGCAAGCAACCUCAUAAGAAUCAUCAUCAACAAAAGGCCGUUUGUGAAUCAUUUUUUACCUAAAGAAUAGCCGACCAAAAAUGAUAAAAUCACAGGAUCGACGAUAAGACGAUGAAGUUGAACAAUACACAAACCCCAGUUAACAAAAUCAAAAUUCUAGAUCCCUAAUUUUUGUUACAAUUAAACACCAGUUUCCAGCAAAUUAAAACACAUACAAGGAUGUCACUCUGUGUAGAAAAAUUA